UAUCCCCUCAGAUACAUCUUUGGAUUAUGGUUGUUCUAGGAUAUGGACACCAUCUUCUGCGCAAAACUGAUCCAAGGGCAAAAGAGAGUUUGCCUUGAAGCAUUUACCUGAUGACGCUCUUUUCCCAGCUGGUGUCAAAGCUUUACGAAGUUGUGCCACCCUGUUCUCACCGAGCUUGGAAAGGUAGUAUCUCUAUCAUUUCUAGUAUAACAGGGGGAUCGUUUCAUGUAAUGGAUUACGUUGAAAGUAUGACAAGGCUUGAGAACUCCUUUGCCGAUCAUUUCGAA